CGGGUGAGUAACGCGUGGGUAACCUGCCUCAUACAGGGGGAUAACAGUUGGAAACGACUGCUAAUACCGCAUAAGCGCACAGUGUCGCAUGACACAGUGUGAAAAACUCCGGUGGUAUGAGAUGGACCCGCGUCUGAUUAGCUAGUUGGUGGGGUAACGGCCUACCAAGGCGACGAUCAGUAGCCGACCUGAGAGGGUGAUCGGCCACAUUGGGACUGAGACACGGCCAA
rnacentral:rRNA from 1 species